CCCGACUCCGAGUGUUUGCUCUCUUGUCUGGUUUCUGGGGUUACCAGGACGCAGGUGCAGCCCUGGUCCCGGGACUAAGGACCAGGGUUGUUGUGAAGAAGCGUGAAAUCUAACUGGGGAGACAAAACAAAGGAAGGCCAAAGUUGCUGACCAGACAAGAAGGGCUCUAGAUGAUGAGAAGAUGGAGAAGGCAGGACUUGAUCUGGAAAAGAACUCUGCAGUCAAAGCCAGAAGACAUGGUUUCAAGUCCUGAAUCUCUCACUAACUGGCUAUAAGACCAUAAGGAGGCAAUUUCCUGCCUUCUGGACCUUAGUCUUUUCACCUGUAAAAGGGGGAGAAUGGGCCUAAAACAUCUCUUGUAGGAAUUGACGGAAGGGUCUGAGGAUUUGUUUUCUAGAAAGCUAUCUGGGUUAUUUUUUCAGUUUCUUGCCUCGGUUCCCCCAACCUGUGAAGCCUAUAGUCACUAACCUCUCAGCCAGGAUCUCUCUGAAUACUGACUCUCUGGGAGGUUACCCAGCUCAGUGUGUUUGAGGUGUUUGAGCCCUUGACUUCCUCACUAGGCUUUCCCUCAGGCUCACCUGAGAGAGAAGGAGGCUUCCUGCUUGGGUGUUGCUGCUGCUCUGAGCAUCUUACUGGCUCUCAAAGAAAACCACUUGAUCUAUGCCCUAAAGUUUGCUUUUCCAGUAACCAAAUGGUGACCCCAUAAUUCAAGUGUGUCACAUGUAACACAGCUAACAGACUUCUAGCGCUGGGAGUUGUUAGGCCCAUCAGGUGUAUUUAGAUUAAUACAGCCCUUUUCUGAAAAGAAUAGGCAAGUCUUUAGCUUUAAUAGCACCUUAAGAAUUCAAGAGAACCAAGACCUCUGUCCCUGAAGGCCUUGAGAAGACAUCAUGGUGAGGAAGAAAGAUCAUUGGAUUUGGAGUCAGAGACCUGGGUUCUAGUCCUGCCUUGAGUAAGUCACCUAACCUGUGUGGACCUCAGUUUCUUCUUCUGUAAAAUGACGAAGUUGGGCUUGAUGAUCUCUCAGGUUCUUCUGACCUUUAAAUCCUCUAAGUAUAAAUCUUGGAAUACUUGACGGCUAAUGGCAGAUGGAACCUUCCAGACUAUUCAAUCCUUGAAUCAUAGAGCUAGAGCAGACCUCAGAGGUUCUCUUCAUUUUACAGAGAAGGAAACUGAGGCUUGGGACUUGCCCAAGGGAACAUACUUAAUAGUGUCAGAAGCAAGAUUUGAACCUAGGGGCCUCUAACACCAGAUCCAGCCCUUUGGGGUGGGUUCCAGCUGGGGUCCCGAUGGUUAAGAGCUUGCCUGAGAUCAUCCUUCUAGAUCAUAUGAAGAGCCAGGGCUGGAAGCAGCCAGAUCCUCACUCCACUAUUCUUGCUACCACUUGUGAAUUUUGUUACCGUUUUGUCUAACUUGAUAAAGUGUCCUCUUGGUAUCCUGAUUGACAUGGCACUCAAUCUGUAUUAUUAGGCAAUAGCCUCAUUUUUUAUACUGGCAUGGCCCAGCUACAAGCAAUUAUUCAUCUUGAUUUCUCUAAAGCGGGUUGUGCAUUUGGACUUAUAUACAAUUUUAGUAUUUCUGGAUAAGUUAACACCCAGAUAUUUUAUGUAGUUUAGAUUUAUGUUUGAUGAAACUUCUUUUACAAUCAUUUCCUCCUUUUUUGUUAGUACUGUAUCAAAUAUUGGGGUUUUGCGGGUGCUUAUUUUGUAUCCUCCUGCUUACUUGAAUCUAUUAAUAACCUUAAUUAGCUUCUUCACUAGUUCUCUAGGUUUUCUUGGUAAACUGUCAAGUUGCCUGCAUGUACAGAUCAUUUUAUUUCCUCUUUCCUAAUCUUUAUACCUUUAAUGUAUCUCUCUUGUCUUAUUGCUAUAACGAUCAUUUUUAGAACUAGUCUUUAGUCUAGAACUAAUCCUUUCUUUAUCUUCAUUUGUCCUGGGAAGACUUUCAGUGUUUCCUGUGCAAAUGAUACGAGCUCUUGGCUUUAGAUACUUUUUCUUACAUUAAAUAAAGGCCCUUCUA